rnacentral:rRNA from 1 species
AUUCGAUGAUACGCGAGGNACCUUACCUGGACUUAAAUGUAGAGUGCAUGACUUGGAAACAGGUCUUUCCUUCGGGACUCUUUACAAGGUGCUGCAUGGUUGUCGUCAGCUCGUGCCGUGAGGUGUCGGGUUAAGUCCCAUAACGAGCGCAACCCCUAUCAUUAGUUGCCAGCGGAUCAUGCCGGGGACUCUAAUGAAACUGCCGGUGUAAACCGAGAGGAAGGUGGGGAUGACGUCAAAUCAGCACGGCCCUUAUGUCCAGGGCUACACACGUGUUACAAUGGCCAGUACAAUGGGCAGCUACCAGGUGACUGGAUGCUAAUCUCCAAAGCUGGUCUCAGUUCGGAUCGGAGUCUGCAACUCGACUCCGUGAAGUUGGAUUCGCUAGUAAUCGUAUAACAGCAAUGAUACGGUGAAUACGUUCCCGGGCCUUGUACACACCGCCCGUCAAACCAUGGAAGCUGGGGGUGCCUGAAGUACGU